CGCCGGGGUGGCCGAGCGGUCUAAGGCGGUGGGCUCGAGAGACCCACUGCUCCUUGCGGGGCGCGCGGGUUCAAAUCCCGCCCCCGGC
rnacentral:tRNA from 1 species